CCUACGGUGGGCAGCAGUGAGGAAUAUUGGUCAAUGGCCGGAAGGCUGAACCAGCCAUGCCGCGUGAAGGUCAGUGCCCUAUGGGCGUUAAACUUCUUUUGUGCGGGAGCAAUAAUGGUCACGUGUGGCCAGACGAGAGUACCGUACGCAUAAGCAUCGGCUAACUCCGUGCCAGCAGCCGCGGUAAUACGGGGGAUGCAGGGGUUAUCCGGAUUUAUUGGGUUUAAAGGGUGAGUAGGCUGUGAGGUAAGUCAGCGGGGAAAUGCCCCCGCUCAACGGGGUGAAGUGCCAUUGAUACUGGCUUGCUGGAAUGCGGAUGAAGUGGGAGGAAUGUGUGGUGUAGCGGUGGAAUGCAUAGAGAUCACACAGAACACCGAUUGCGAAGGCAUCUCACGAAUCCGCGAUUGACGCUGAUGCACGAAAGCGUGGGUAUCAAACAGGAUUAGAUACCCUAGUAGUC
rnacentral:rRNA from 1 species